GAUGAACGCUGGCGGCGUGCCUAAUACAUGCAAGUCGAGCGAACAGACGAGGAGCUUGCUCCUCUGACGUUAGCGGCGGACGGGUGAGUAACACGUGGAUAACCUACCUAUAAGACUGGGAUAACUUCGGGAAACCGGAGCUAAUACCGGAUAAUAUAUUGAACCGCAUGGUUCAAUAGUGAAAGACGGUUUUGCUGUCACUUAUAGAUGGAUCCGCGCCGCAUUAGCUAGUUGGUAAGGUAACGGCUUACCAAGGCAACGAUGCGUAGCCGACCUGAGAGGGUGAUCGGCCACACUGGAACGGAGACACGGUCCAGACUCCUACGGGAGGGAGCAGGAGGGAAUCUUCCGCAAUGGGCGAAAGCUUGACGGAGCAACGCCGCGUGAGUGAUGAAGGUCUUCGGAUCGUAAAACUCUGUUAUUAGGGAAGAACAAAUGUGUAAGUAACUAGGCACGUCUUGACGGUACCUAAUCAGAAAGCCACGGCUAACUACGGGC
rnacentral:rRNA from 1 species